CAAGAAACUAUCGGCGGCCAUGACACUUUACCCGCAUCGGAUCAUUGUUGUUUACAUCACACGAAGAGAGAGUGACAGCUUGUUCUCGGGAGACAGAUCAGUGUCUGUAGAGAGAAAACAUUUGACCAGGUGGAGUCAGGCUUCUUCUUCGUCUUUGGACCACUACACCAACAAGGCAGAAGUUUUGGAUCAAUUAUGCUGAUGCCCCACUGUAAGAACCUGGAGAUCUUCACUGUUUCUGGUGGAGGUGACGUGGCCACAAACAAUCCGUGGGACACCUUCCAACGCUACCUCUGUCUGGACAACAGCCAGAGGGUGAUCAAGACAUCUUCAAACCCAUUGGAGGAGACGACCCAAGGUUCCUUGCCUCAGACUUCCUCCAAUGGGUUUUGAGAAGGAUGUGAGUAGUGAGGAGUUGAGCAGAGAUUAAUUGGGACAGAGCUCAUGUCAUUGUUUUAGGUGGAAUGUAUUCAGUUUGCAGCACAGGAGGUUGGUGGUGCUGUACCUUAAUUGAGAAGAACGGGCUGGUGGUAAUGAUGAGUGGAAUAGUAUCAAAUACAUCAAACACAUGGCUUCCAGGUGUUUGAUGCCAUUCCAUUUGCUCCAUUCCAGCCAUUCUUAUGAGCUGUUGUCCCCCCUGUUCUCACACUUACAUAUUUUGUUCUACCUGUGCUCUUUCUACAGAUUUUAUUUUAUUUAACUAGGCAAGUCAGUUGAGAACAAAUUCAUAUUUACAAUGACUGCCUACACCGCCCAAACCCAGAUGACGCCAAUUGUAUGCCGUCCUAUGGGACUCCCAAUCACGGCCAGUUGUGAUACAGCCUGGAUUCGAACCAGGGUGUCUGUAGUGGCUCUGGCUUGCUGAUAUCAUCUGAUCUGAUGAGAUUCCCUGUGAUUUGACUCCUGUAUUACUGACAGUUUUCAAUAAAACUUCCAAUGACAAAUUGAAAUAAUUUGAGAUUCUGUAAUUGAAAGACAAUUGUAGUUCCCAAUCAGAUAAUUACUAUAAAACAAAUCUGUUUUCCUCAGUGCAGUUGUAAACAACCAUCAUGGACUCCAUCCUCAGCUCCUCCAUCACUGCAACGGAUUGUCCAGUCUGCUGAGAGGGUCAUUGGCUGCCACCUGCCCUCCUUCCAGGUCCUGCACGACUCCAGGGCCAGGAAGCGUGCAGGAAAGAUCAUUGCCAACCCCUUCCGUCCCCCCUGGCAAACGGUUCAGGUCAAUCACGACCAAAACCUCACGCCACCUGAACAGUUUCUUCCCCUUGUGCCAUGGCCCUCAUCCAACCGGCAACCUGGUCUACGAUGAUCCUGUCAUCCAUGGACAUAGUACUCUGCGCUAUUCAUCCACAGACUAUUCACUGCACUAUCAUCACAGAACUGCACAUUGCUCUUUGCACUCUCUUACAUGCAUAAUUUAUAAUGUAGCUUAUAGCGCUCACAGUGUACAUACUGUAUGUGAAUCUGUGGAGAUUCUGCAUCUAUAUAUUUUUGGGUCUGUAAAUUUUGUUUAUCAUCUGUCUGUAUAUUGUUUAUUGUUGCAGCACCAUUUCAGUCAUUCCUGUACAUGCAAAUGUGUUUGGCAAAUAAAGCUGAUAUGUUAACCUGA